GCGUGUGUGUGUGUGUGUGUGUGUGUGUGUGUGUGUGUGUGUGUGUGUGUGUGUGUGUGUGUGUGUGUGUGUGUGUGUGUGUGUUAUUCUAGUCACUGGGGUCGGUACUUAUAGGUAGAACCGUGGGAGAUAAAUUAUUGGAUUUAUACCUGCAGUACAUCUUUUAACCUAACGAGGGAGUCUGAACGUUGACAUCGUUGGAUAAUUGUAUUCUACUGAGGACAUUGACUCUAAUAGUAAGGCUGGUAUAUAUUCUGUAAGUUUAACUGAACAGAGGAAAUUACGGAAUGAGAUAAGUACUAACUUAUCUUAUAUAAGUAUUAUAUGAUGUCAAUAACACAAAGUUGUUACUUAGAGUACGUACAAAUGUGAACCUCUUAUAAUAGCAGAUUAACAUAUUCAGGAUAUUACAGGGAGAAAUGACAAAAGCAAAAAAUGGUCAAUUUACACAAAGAUUAUCUUUACUCAUAAAUAAGGCCAUUAAGAAUUGGACAGCAAUGUUUUCUUUUAUUAAUUGACUCCCCAGGAGUUCACCUGUGGUCAAUAUUGCACAUCCCUCUUGUCGGUGUGUCUAACAAUGUGGCCGUUGUGUAAAGGCAGAGGUCAGGGGUCAGCGUGUCAGCUGGAGUGUCUGUCUGGUAUUUGGCACAGCGGCACCAAAAGAGGAAAGGGCACACAGGCACAUUCACACACAGACACACAAAUCUUUACACAGAGUAUCUGAGACUAAAUGUUUUCAGUUGUCACCUCACACAGGUCUCAGUGUGUGCAUGCAACAUACUCAGGUUUCAACCUAGAACGUUGAAGGACUGUCUGUCUAUGCUGGAGAUUCAACCAUUGACAAUAUUUAUUUUUAUCAUUCAAUAUAAUAAUAAUAAUAAUAAUCAUUCAGUCAUUUUCCUCAUUGACUUAUCAUAACCUAAGAUCCGAUAACCCUUUAUAAGUAGUGUACUCACAAGGCAAAUAGAGAAGCUUUGUGUGCGUUCUGUUUGUCAAGUCACUCACUCUGUUCAGUGACAGCGCGUCUCAAAUAUUUCAGUAAGCGUUAGCAUUGUUUAUCUCUCACUGUGAGUGUGUGUUUGCAUAGUGUGUGUGCACAUAAACACGUGUGUGUGUUUGUGUGAUCGUGUGACCAGGUGUGUACAACACCACGCGGUUCCUUCCAGGCUCCCUGCUCAGUGAAUUCAAUCCUUUCAGCUCCACCUAGUGGCGGCUCAGGAGAACUACACCGAGGAAAACCAUUGCUGUUUUGUACAUUGUGGCUUCCCACCUGAGCAUCACGUGGUGGUGGUCUGCAUGUGUGGGCCGUUGUGGAUCUAUAGAACCGAGUGGGUAAUAGCUUUGUUCAUCCCAAGGCUCCUGUAUUCACCCACUAGCUUGAGCUUUACUGCUUCUAAGCACUGCAGACUUUAGAAAAGUAUACUGCAAGAUUUAAAACAUAGAUAUACUUGCGCUUUUUCUAAAAUCUUUGGUUGAGUUAAGCUGUUCAAUCAGAAGGGGACAAUCUUUUCCCUCUGAUGUUCCCCAACUCCCACAACCAAUUUAUGUUUAAUUCUGACUCAUUAGUAACGUCAGGUAGAUGAUGUUUUAGUAAUUAAGGCACUUUUAAUUUAUGUGCUCACUCGAGGUCAGUCAGGGGGACUGCACAGACUACGGUGAUCUUUACCGGUCGCCCCCCCUUUUCCUGUCUUAUUGGCCGUAUAGUGAUUGGCCCGCCUUCAAGUCAAAAGGCCGCAUCCAUCUGCUAGCGCUCACGGUGAGAAGAGUAAGAAAACGGGUUAGAAGGGGAGCAGCGGGGGACUUUCUUCCUCCCGGUUUCGUAUUUGCCACCCUUCGUCUCCUGAGCUGCCUCUGCGGCCCCUGCAUGUUAUUUUUCUGGGUGUGUUUUUGUCGUGAUUGAGGUCCUCCAGGCAGGAAGGGCCCCGGCUGCAGAUGUGAGCUGGGCAGCCAGCGGGGAACAGAGCGCCACAUUGUACUGGGCGUACUGGGGGAGCUCGGGCUGCAAUCUGAUCCAGUAUCCUGCCAUCGCAGAACCACGCGGUCUACUGUCACUGCCUGAGCCCCCCCACAACCCGCCCUCCACCUUUGCCUGAACCUCUCCCUCCCUCCUACCUCGCUCAAUCUUCUCAUGCACAGCAUUCCUUUGCAGACCUGCAGAAUUUUUGAAAAGUAGAAGGGAAGCUUGGACAUUUCUGUGAAUCCUCCUGUUCACUUUGAAUAUUGUAACUUAUUAAUACAAAUCAUAAAGUCCGUUCAAAUGUAGAGUGCUGCAGAGAUGAGUCCUUUUUGGUUAAAAACCAGGGAAGUCAUUACACUGGUUCCCUGGACAAAAGGCCAUGGAUUUU
ensembl:lncRNA